UAUGUUAACCGAACCUCCCUUCUCCACUCUUCAUGUUUUCUUCUUCUUGCAAUUUACAUAUAUACCUUGUGAGAUUUGAAUGAUCUUUGAGAGAAUUUUAGUAGAUCAAUUUAAGAGAGGAUUAAAGAAAAGAAUAAAGCUUGAGGUUGAAAGUGUGAACUGGAUAGUGACCUCAGCGAGAGAGACAUACCAUUCUCAUGUAGCGUAAGUUGAAUGUGUUUGAAGCUUGCUAAGGCUGUUAGCAAUUGGGGAUAGUUAAGGUAUCCAGGUGUGGUGAAGACUUGCAAGAUGUGAAUGACUUUGGCGAUAGAAAACAUCAAGACUCAAUGUCUGUUAGUUACCAAUUUGUGUAAAUAUCUUAG